GCCUCUGCUGCUUCAUGUGGGGCCAAUUUCUGGCAACUGCUGACUACAGGCACCUGCCAAUAAUCCCAGGCAGAGCUGGGAGGGGUGUGACUUGUCCUGGCUUUCCAAGCUGCAGAGCUGUGGGGCUGACCCACUGUGCCAAAGAGGAGCAUCCCUUGCUGAGCCCUGCCAAAUUUCUCUCUGCAUCUCCCUCCUAUGUGUGUGUAUCUCUCUGCAAACAGCAGCCUUAAUCCACUUUGCAGGUUCACAAUGAAAGAAUUUGCUGCCUCCUCUCUAAGAAGAAUCCCAGUGUGCCACGAUAUUUUUCAGAAGUGCUGUUACAUUCCAGGCCCAUAAAACAUACGGUCAGAUGAAGUAGAAAAUAUCCCAGAGAGUCAGAGAGAGCUACAUGUCUCCAGAGUCUGUGACAAAGCCACUCAUGUGAGAAAAAGGAAUUCUUGGUCCAACAGCAACAGCUGCACAGUUUAUUUAAUUUGCCUUUUUUAACUUAUUCUCUCACAGCUUUGGUAGGACUUUGAACCUAUGAAUUAUCUGUUUUUUGUCAAUUAUGAUCUCUUUGUGUGUGGGAAACAUAAUAAGUGCUUUUUGUUAUCUUUCGUAUGCAAUAAACUAACAGGAUAAUCACAUAUGGUGAAAAUGUGGAAA